UAAUUGGUCUUCCUCUCUCACUCACACAGUAUCGGGACUCGGGAAUGUAAUAAUAAUAAUAAACGAUGUUAUCAGUUAUCACGCUGGAGUCGAUUGAGUUGCAAAGAAAGAGACAAGUAGAAAUAAAAUGAGAUUGAGGAGAAUGUAGCAGCAGAACAGUAAUAUUGAACGAAUUGACGUUAGGGUAGGUAAAAGAAAGAAAUUAGAAUCAGAGUUGUUUCUAUCUGGUCUCAAUUCUCAUUUAGAGCUUUGCAUUCUCUCUCUCUCUCUCUCUCUCACUAGAUCCGUAAUUGAACCAGGCUUGUUUGAGAACAAGUAGAAUAGAGGAUGUCAAGUAGUACUGGGGAUACUCAUUGGUGUUAUAAUUGCAUGAGGCCGGUUCGAUUGGGACGGAUACAUACUGUUUGCUCUAGUUGUGAUGGGGGAUUUGUUCAAGAUCUCAAUGAUAUGGUACAUUCUAGUUAUGGCGUGGACAAUGUUGAAGAACUCGGACAAAGGCAUCAAAUGGAUUCAAUUCCCGAACACGCUCCAAGGUUUACUACUCCUUUGUUAAUCUAUGGUGGCCAAAUACCAUUCAGGUUUUCUAGACAAGGUGGCAUUGAUGCUCUCUUUAAUGGGACACCAGGAACUGGUGUCACGAUAGGUAACUCGGUUAAUUAUUUUACCGGUCCUGGAGUUGAAGAAUUGUUAGAACAGCUUUCUGCUAAUGACCGCAGAGGCCCCCCACCUGCAUCGCGGUCAUCUAUAGAUGCAAUUCCUAUUGUGAAGAUAUCGUCGAGGCAUCUUCGAUCAGAUCCACAUUGUCCAGUAUGCCAAGAUAAAUUUGAGCUUGGGUCUGAUGCAAGACGAAUGCCAUGUAAACAUAUGUUUCACUCGGAUUGUAUUGUACCAUGGUUGGUUCAGCAUAACACCUGCCCUGUUUGCCGUCAAGAAUUGCCACAGCAGAGUGGAAGAAGGAGAAACCCUUUUUCGUUUUUGUGGCCUUUCGGCUCUUCUAAUUCUAGAAGUAACGACGGAGCAACUGGAAGCAGCUCACUAACACCAGGUAUACCUGAAAAUAGCCAGAAUGCACAACAUUCUGGGUGGCCAUUUGAGUGACUUUAUGCUGAUGGAAACAUACAAUGGAAUGAUGCUGAUUGCUUGGAGUGAAACCUUAUGAGACCUGAGUCUAUCACUCUGUAUUUGUUUUCUAAAGGUUGCUGGAUGGACCCAAGUAUACGGGGACAUGCUGACCUUUGCCACCAUCAGAGGAGCAGGCCAUGAAGCUCCUUCUUCCCAACCAGGGAGGUCUCCGGUGCUUUUUAAGGCCUUUUUGGAAGGAAAACAGCUUCCAAAACAUUGAAAAAUUCAUUGUAGUAUGUAAUUAUCAUUAAUCUUUUUCGGUCAAAUGUUAUUUUUAUUUAUUUAUUUUAACAGUUAGUGUUGUUUUACAAUUACAAUAUAGCAUCAAUGAAAAUUAGAAGACUUAAUUACACAUUUGGUCCCUUAAUUAAUUCGCAGGUUUCGUUUUGGUCCCUUAAUUAAUAAAAAUUUCGUUUUGUUCCCUUAAAUGUGCUUCUGUUAGUCAAUUUAGUCGGUGGCGGAGCCACGUUGCAUUGAGGGUGUGCACGUGAACCCCUUCAAUUUUAAUAUUUACACUUAAAAUUGUAUGUUUUUUAUGCGUUGAAUCUAAAUUGUGACAUUGUGGUUGGCCAACGUCACAAUGUCACUCAAGAAUGCCACCAACUUCACCAACCUCUUCCAAAACGUCGUCGCUUCACCCUCCGUCUUAUUCACCGCUUCCCACACCGUUUCAUCCAUACUCCCUCGUUCAAGAGCUUCGCGAGAACCGUUUCUAUGUUGCAGCAUGCUGUGUUACAAUCACCCAAAACGGUUCUUCCUUGGUUUUACCCAAUUUGAAACUCAAGGUUGUUAUGGAAGCUGUUAGGAUGGUGUUGGAAGCUGUUUACGACGAAAGAUUCGUCACAUUUUGCUACGGUGGACGCGUUGGGAUGGGUAGACACACUGCUAUAAGGUAUUUGAAAAACACUCUUCAGAAUCCUACUUGGUGGUUUACUGUUAGGUUUAAGCUUCAUAGAUUUGAAAAUGCACAUGUUGAAAAGUUGUGUUUUUUCGUUUAACGUAAAAUCAGAGAUUGUGUUUUCAUUGAUUUUAUUAAGAGGUUGUUUGAAUGUAAGGUUUUGGUGAUUGAAUUGGGUGGUAAUUCGUUAGGAAAAGGGCUUCCUCAGGAAUGUGGGUUGUGUUCUAUUUUGGUGAAUGUUUAUUUUGAUGGGUUUGAUAAAGAGAUUCAAGAGAUGCGGCUUCGGGAAAAUCAAGAGAACUGUGAAUUGAAUUCGAAGAUGGUUUGUUCUAGUUUGGGAUCUGAUGUGUUUUACAAACCCGUUAAAGUGUAUGUGGUUAGGUAUUUGGAUGAGAUACUGGUUGCUACUUCGGGGGGAUCCAAGUUGUUGGCUAUGGAUAUGGACUUGAAGAUGAAGGUUGUCAAAAGCUUGGAGCUUGGUUUGAGUUUGCGGGUUGAUAAAUUGAACACGGCUAUUCAUAGCGCAGUGUCGGAGAAGAUUGAGUUUCUUGGGAUGGAAUUGCAGGCUGUUCCGCCCUCGGUUUUACGCCCACCUAUGUCAGAGAAAGCAAUUCGAGCAUGGAAGAAGUACCUUAGACAAAAGGAAGUUAGAGCUCUUGAGUUCAGAAAUGCUAGGGCGAGGAAUAGGAGGAUAUUGGGGUUGAAGAUAUUUAAUCAUGUUUAUAAGAAGAUGAAGCAAAGUGAUGGGUUUAAGUUUGACUUUAGUAUUGAAAAUGAAGUCCGGGAAAUUUUUAAAUCUUGGGCAGAUGAAGUAGUGCAAGAGUUCUUGGGGAGUGUGGAUGAGUGUCAAGAAUGGCAUCGGAGUUUAACAGCCGGUGAUUUUCUUUCCUUGAGACACAUUCGAGAUCAGUUACCGCCUGACCUUGUUGUUGCUUAUGAUAAAUUCCAUGAACAGGUAGAUAAACAUUUGAAUCCUGUAAAACUAAGGAAAGUAAUUGAGGACAAAGAAAGAAAAGAAAACCAAGAGGAAGAACAAAAAUAUUCAAAAGGAACAGUUGAGGAUUUGACUAGGUUAUGUAUAAAAGUAGAUGCACCAGUAGGUCUGAUAAGAAAAGCUGUGAGGUUGGUUGCUUUUACGAAUCAUAUGGGUCGUCCAAGGCCUAUUGAAUUCCUCGUUGCUCUUGAGGAUGCCGAUAUUAUCAAAUGGUAUGCCGGCAUAGCAAGAAGGUGGCUUGACUUGUUCUGCUGUUGCCACAACUUCAAGGUGGUCAAAUCUAUUGUAAGUUAUCACUUGAGGUUCUCUUGUAUCUUGACAUUAGCAGAAAAGCACGAAUCCACUAAGCGUGAAGCUAUAAAGCAUUUUAGCAAAGAUUUGAAAGUCUAUGAUAUGAAUGGAAAUGAUGAAAUACAUUUUCCCACAGAGAAGGAGGUUAAGAUGAUGAUGGGAGAUAGAAAUCUUUCAGAUCCAAAACCUGUAGAUGGGGUUUUAUCGUUGGCAACAGUAAGACUGGCAUCUGACGAGCCUCCCACACGUUGUAUUGCUCAUUUCUGUGACAAGACGAUAACAGUCUUUUAUCGGGUCCGAUUGCUACAAAACAGUUUGAAUGUGAACCCAAUGGAGAAAGAAAAAUGGGUGCAAGGGAUGGGAGUAAUUCAUGAAAGUCUGAACCAGAAGUGCCUCCCACUCUGUACCAAUCAUAUACAUGAUUUUUACUUGGGGAGAAUCACUUUUCAAGACAUUGACUGUACCUCUUGUGUGGAUGUAGACUGACUGACGAUUGCUACUGCUAACUCAUUUUUUAGUUUGAUUAGAAUCAAAGAACUGAGUUAUUCACACUUAACCAAAAUUCUACUAAUUUUUUUUCAUUACUCAUCCCUAGACAAUUCUCAUAUUCAUUUCUUUCUUAUAGAAUAUGCAACUGAUUCCAAUUUUGUCAAUCAUCUCUAGCUGAAAAGUCAGGCAGUAUCCAUAUAUGCAAACUUGUUUUUGCUGUUUGAGCAACAAAUGCUAAAUUGUUUUUUCUUAUAUUCUUGUUUUAUUUUUGAAGUCAGGCAGUCACCAUAUCUCCUUACAUUCCCUUGCAUGAUUU